GAGGCGAAACAGCCCUGAAACGUGAGAAACAUCCGAGAGGGUUUUCAGGUAGCAAUCCGUUCUCUCUCUUUUCUCUUUUACCAAUUUUUUUUCAUUGAUGUUCCGAUCUUCCUUUGUGUUGGUUUCGCUGAUAUUUAUUCUAAAUAGGAGUCUGGGUUUUGGGUUUUUUGCCUUUGUUUUUGUUCUGAGUUUCCAACCGUGGAAUUGAUUGUAGGCUAUGUAGAAAUGUAAUGGUAAGAACCCUCUUCUCAUUCUUUCUUCUUUUCAUGAUCAGAGUAAUCAGCAAAAGAAGAAGAGGUUUUAUUUUCAGCAAAAGCAAGAUAAGAAUGGGGUUCACUUGAUUUGAUGGCUUCAAUUGCAUGAUGGCUGUUUUCAUUUUUUUUUUUUUUUUUUUUUAUUAUGAACAGACAUAAUGUUUAACCUUAUACUUCAAUACAUUAUUCGCGGGUGAAGCUAUUUGGUUGACCACAGUAAAGUUUAGUUGAUUAACCGAUCAGUAAGAAGAAAAAGGCCUAGGUUUUUGAAGUGUAUUGUGGUCACUAAGUUUGCUGCAGGUAGAUUUAGUUCAAUUUAGUUAGUUUUCUUUAUUUUUUAUCAUUUAAGUUCUGGACAAAUUAAUCAUUGGGAGAAGAGAUUUAAUUAGUACUAGAAGAUGCAUUUAUGAUCGAUGAUAUCACUGAAAUGGUUCAUGCAUUAUGGUCCCGUCUUGAAUUAUUUGGUGGAGGCGUCAAGUUCAACAGUGUAUGCUUUAUUAUUUUAGUAGAGUAGUUCUUAUUUUAAUCAUCUAUUGUUUUCUUUGCUCUGUUGAUAAGCAGCAAGGCAGUUGGAAUUCCUCAAAGGCAGGAGUUAUUCUACUCAUCAUCAAUCUACUCAUUAUAAACGCCCUCAUUCCAAUAACAGGUAAAACUAAUCUUCACAAAUUCAUUACUUGGUUUCUGAACACUACUUUCAUUACUGAAAUCCUCUAUAAAGUAUAAACACGAUCUUUUGCAGGAUUCUAUAAUGCCUGCAACUAAUUUCUCAGCUUCACCCUCCUGCUCACAACAUACAGCAGCUAUCUGAGACUUCUGAUACACCAAGUUUGAUACCAGUUUAUUCAUUGUAAUCAAAACAUUACAAAAUCAAUAAUAUUAUCAUUAUGUAUAAAAAUACAAUAUAGACAGAUCAAAUCCCGCUGUAAAGCGCGGGCAAAUCUUGCUAGUU